UAGGCAUGCAAGUCGACCGAUCCUUGCUGAUAUUGAACCGGAGUGCUUGCACAAAGGUGAUAUUGAAGCGCGGGAUAGCGGCAAACGGGUGAGUAACGCGUAGACAAUUUUCCUUGAAGCCGAACAUAGCUUCGUGAAAACGGAGGUAAUAUUCGAUGUGGUCCUAGAAUCGUAUGUUCCCUAGGAUUAAAGAUGGGGAUCUUCGGACCUGUCACUUUAAGAUGAGUCUGCGUCCUAUCAGCUUGUUGGUGGGGUAACAGCCUACCAAGGCGUUUAACGGGUAGCCGGCCUGAGAGGGUGUCCGGCCACACUGGGACUGAGACACUGCCCAGACUCCUACGGGAGGCUGCAGUCGAGAAUCUUUUUCAAUGGACGCAAGUCUGAAAAUGCGACGCCGCGUGCAGGAUGAAGGCCUUCGGGUUGUAAACUGCUUUUGUUAGGAAAGAAACCUUAAUAGUUAAUACCUAUUAAGCUGACGGUACCUAAAGAAUAAGCCACGGCCAACUCCGUGCCAGCAGCCGCGGUAAUACGGAGGUGGCGAGCGUUACUCGGAAUCAUUGGGUGUAAAGGGUAAGUAGGCGG
rnacentral:rRNA from 1 species